rnacentral:misc_RNA from 1 species
GUUAUGCAUGAACGUAAUGCUCAUAACUUCCCUCUAGACUUAGCUGCCGUUGAAUCUCCAUCUAUAAAUGGAUAAUAUUUUGGUCUUAAAGUAUACUAGUUUUUGAAAGUAAAAGAGCAAUAUCAGCAGAGUUGAUAUUGCUCUUUUACUUUUCAGAGUCUUUUUUUAUACAUAUUUAUACAUAAAUUAUGGAUUUAUUAUAAUAAUCUUUAGCAUUCUUUAUUUCAACAUAAGAGAUAAAAAAAUUGGAGUUUCAUAUUUUUUUCUUUUCAAUAUUUCGUCAUGUAAACAAAAAAUGAAUGCUGCCUCACCACUUUUUUCUUAAAAGGCGGGUAAAAACUUAGAAAAAAGACGAAAAAAAAUGCAAACGAAAGAGUACAAAUUGAAGUCGGAGUAAUUUUCACAUAARAUAGGGGCGGAUGUAGCCAAGUGGAUCAAGGCAGUGGAUUGUGAAUCCACCAUGCGCGCC